rnacentral:rRNA from 1 species
CCUACGAGAGGCAGCAGUGAGGAAUAUUGGUCAAUGGGCGCGCGCCUGAACCAGCCAAGUCGCGUGAGGGAGGACGGCCCUACGGGUUGUAAACCUCUUUUGCCGGGGAGCAACGGGCGCCACGUGUGGCGUCACUGAGAGUACCCGGAGAAAAAGCAUCGGCUCACUACGUGCCAGCAGCCGCUGUAAUACGGAGGCUUCGAGCUUUAUCCGAAUUUAUUGGGUUUAAAGGGUGCGUAGGAGGAUCGUUAAGUCAGUGGUCAAAUUGAGGGGCUCAACCCCUUCCCGCCAUUGAAACUGGCGUGCUUGAGUGGAAGAGAAGUAUGCGGAAUGCGUGGUGUAGCGGUGAAAUGCAUAGAUAUCACGCAGAACCCCGAUUGCGAAGGCAGCAUGCCGGCUUCCGACUGACGCUGAAGCACGAAAGCGUGGGGAUCGAACAGGAUUAGAUACCCUAGUAGUC